AUGCCUGUCUCCUUCCUCAUCUUCCUCCCUGUGCUGGGCCUCUCCUGGGGUGUCUUGUCCCAGGUGCAGCUGCAGGAGUCGGGCCCAGGACUGGUGAAACCCUCGGAAACGAUCUCCCUCACCUGUGUCAUCUCUGGGGACACUGUCUCUAGCAACAGUGCUACUUGGAACUGGAUCAGACAGUCCCCAGAGAAAGGCCUUGAGUGGCUGGCAAGGAUCUACUACAGCUCCACGUGGUACAGAAACUAUGCACCCUCUCUGCAGAGUCGAGUAACCAUCGACCCAGACACAUCCAAGAACCAGUUCUCGCUGCGGCUGAGCUCCGUGACCCCCGAAGACACAGCCACAUAUUACUGUGCGAGAGACACAGUUAGGGGAUGGCAGG